rnacentral:rRNA from 1 species
UACGGAGGGUGCGAGCGUUGUUCGGAAUCACUGGGCGUAAAGCGCGUGUAGGCGGCUUCUUAAGUCCGAUGUGAAAGCCCGGGGCUCACCCCCGGAAGUGCAUUGGAUACUGGGAAGCUGGAGUACCGGAGAGGAGGGUGGAAUUCCUGGUGUAGCGGUGAAAUGCGUAGAUAUCAGGAGGAACACCUGUGGCGAAGGCGGCCCUCUGGACGGAUACUGACGCUGAGGCGCGAAAGCGUGGGGAGCAAACAGG